CGACAGCAACUUGGGGGAAUGUAUAGCUUAGGCUAACUAUAUUUGGUUUAUUAACCUUGAUGUUUAUUCACGUUAAUAAAUUGGUUAUAAAAAAAAUAUAGGAUUGACUUUGUCGAAUAAAGUUCUAGGUAGAAUACUGAUUAUGACUAUUUUCUAUCUAUGUGUCUUGACCAAAUUACGUGCCAGCAGUCGCGGUAAUACGUAGAAGACUAGUGUUAUUCAUCUUUAUUAGGUUUAAAGGGUACCUAGACGGUAAAAUUAGUCUAAAAUAUGAUACGGUUUUGCUAGAGUUAUAUAUAAGAAGGUGAGUAUUUAAGGAGUAGAGUUGAAAUUCAUUAAUACCUUAAGGACUGGUAAAGGCGAAAGCAACCUUUUAUCUAAUAACUGACGUUGAGGGACGAAGGCUCGGGUCGCGAACAGGAUUAGAUACCCUAGUAGUCCAAGCAGAGAAUUAUGAAUGCCAUAGAUUAGAAUAUUUUAGUUUAUAAAUGAAAGUGUAAGCAUUCCACCUCAAGAGUAAUGUGGCAACGCAGGAACUGAAACCAU
rnacentral:rRNA from 1 species